UACGAAGGGGGCUAGCGUUGUUCGGAAUUACUGGGCGUAAAGCGCGUGUAGGCGGGUCCUUAAGUCAGGGGUGAAAUGCCAAGGCUCAACCUUGGAACUGCCUUUGAUACUGGCUAUCUUGAGUUCGGGAGAGGUGAGUGGAAUGCCGAGUGUAGAGGUGAAAUUCGUAGAUAUUCGGCGGAACACCAGUGGCGAAGGCGACUCACUGGCCCGAUACUGACGCUGAGGCGCGAAAGCGUGGGGAGCAAACAGG
rnacentral:rRNA from 1 species